rnacentral:rRNA from 1 species
AUUGAACGCUGGCGGCAUGCUUUACACAUGCAAGUCGAACGGUAACAGGGUGCUUGCACCGCUGACGAGUGGCGAACGGGUGAGUAAUGCGUCGGAACGUGCCGAGUAGUGGGGGAUAACGCAUCGAAAGGUGUGCUAAUACCGCAUACGUACUGAGGUAGAAAGUGGGGGACCUUCGGGCCUCACGCUAUUCGAGCGGCCGACGUCUGGAUUAGCUAGUUGGUGAGGUAAAGGCUCACCAAGGCGACGAUCAGUAGCGGGUCUGAGAGGAUGAUCCGCCACACUGGGACUGAGACACGGCCCAGACUCCUACGGGAGGCAGCAGUGGUGAAUUUUGGACAAUGGGCGCAAGCCUGAUCCAGCCAUGCCGCGUGUCUGAAGAAGGCCUUCGGGUUGUAAAGGACUUUUGUCCGGGAGCAAAUACCCAGUGCUAAUAACGCUGGGGGCUGAGAGUACCGGAAGAAUAAGCACCGGCUAACUACGUGCCAGCCGCCGCGGUAAGAC